rnacentral:lncRNA from 10 species
UAUGGUGAUCCAUUUCCAUUUAAUGAAUUGCAGAGAAAAUGUCAAGUUCAUCAGCUGAAACGAAAACUCCCACUGUCCAGGCUAAGAGACCAGGGUCAGGGAUGGGAUCCCAAACUUUGAGGUGGAAGAUGGAGAAAGGGUGGGGGAGGAGGGGGGGAGGGAGGAGGAGGAAGGAGGAGAGGGAGGAGGAAGGAGGAGGAGGAAGAAGGAGGAAGAAGGAGGAGGAGGAAGGAGGAGGAGAGAAGGGGAG